CUCUAUGGCCAUGCCACCUUAAACAAGCCCGAUCCCAUCCGAUCUUGGAAGCUAAGCAGGGUUGGGCCUGGUUAGUACUUGGAUGGGAGACCACCUAGGAAGACCAGGUGCUGUAGGCA
rnacentral:rRNA from 1 species